rnacentral:rRNA from 1 species
CAGUAGCCGCGGUAAUACAGAGGGUGCGAGCGUUAAUCGGAAUUACUGGGCGUAAAGCGCGCGUAGACGGUUUGGUAAGUCAGAUGUGAAAUCCCUGGGCUCAACCUGGGAACUGCAUUUGAUACUGCCUGGCUAGAGUAUCGAAGAGGGAAGUGGAAUUUCCGGUGUAGCGGUGAAAUGCGCAGAUAUCGGAAGGAACACCAGUGGCGAAAGCGAGGUCCUGGACGUUUAUUGACGCUGAGGCGCGAAAGCGUGGGGAGCAAACAGGAUUAGAUACCCGGGUAGUCCCUGUCUCUUAUAC